rnacentral:rRNA from 1 species
GAUGAACGCUGGCGGCGUGCCUAAUACAUGCAAGUCGAGCGAACAGAUAAGGAGCUUGCUCCUUUGACGUUAGCGGCGGACGGGUGAGUAACACGUGGGUAACCUACCUAUAAGACUGGGAUAACUUCGGGAAACCGGAGCUAAUACCGGAUAACAUUUGGAACCGCAUGGUUCUAAAGUGAAAGAUGGUUUUGCUAUCACUUAUAGAUGGACCCGCGCCGUAUUAGCUAGUUGGUAAGGUAACGGCUUACCAAGGCAACGAUACGUAGCCGACCUGAGAGGCGGAUCGGCCACACUGGAACUGAGCCACGGUCCAGACUCCUACGGGAGGCAGCAGUAGGGAAUCUUCCGCAAUGGGCGAAAGCCUGACGGAGCAACGCCGCGUGAGUGAUGAAGGGGUUCGGCUCGUAAAACUCUGUUAUUAGGGAAGAACAAACGUGUAAGUAACUGUGCACGUCUUGACGGUACCUAAUCAGAAAGCCACGGCUAACUACGUG